rnacentral:snRNA from 1 species
AGUCACGCAUUAAACACAUAGCGAACUAUUCUUUCGCCUUUUACUAAAGAAUACCGUGUGUUUAUUGCAUUAAGUGACAUGCAUUAAUUUUUUUAAUGGUGGCUUCUCUCUAGAGGCCC